rnacentral:pre_miRNA from 1 species
AAAUUCGUCAAAUACCCCCUGAAAUUUGGAAAUAGGCAAAUACCCCUUGAAAUUAUAAAAAGUCAAUCAAAUUGCCCCCUGACACUACCAGUUAGAGUCCACGUCAGGGGGUAUUUGUCUAUUUUCAAAUUUCGAGGGGUAUUUGACAAAUUU